UUAGAGUUUGAUCCUGGCUCAGGAUGAACGCUAGCGGCAGGCUUAACACAUGCAAGUCGAGGGGUAGAAGUCUUCGGACUUUGAGACCGGCGCACGGGUGCGUAACGCGUAUGCAAUCUGCCUUUCACAGAGAGAUAGCCCAGAGAAAUUUGGAUUAAUACCUCAUAGCAUUAUAGAUCGGCAUCGAUUAUUAUAUUAAAGUCACAACGGUGAAAGAUGAGCAUGCGUCCCAUUAGCUAGUUGGUAUGGUAACGGCAUACCAAGGCAAUGAUGGGUAGGGGUCCUGAGAGGGAGAUCCCCCACACUGGUACUGAGACACGGACCAGACUCCUACGGGAGGCAGCAGUGAGGAAUAUUGGUCAAUGGGCGCAAGCCUGAACCAGCCAUGCCGCGUGCAGGAUGACGGUCCUACGGAUUGUAAACUGCUUUUAUACGGGAAGAAACCCUCCUUUGCGAAGGAGCUUGACGGACCGAAGAAUAAGAUCGC
rnacentral:rRNA from 1 species